rnacentral:lncRNA from 1 species
GAAAAUAAAGGAAGUAGAUUACUCUUUACCGGUUACUGGGUAAAGGUAAAGUACUAAACAUCAAGAAAAAACAUUACCAUUUACUGGGUAAUAGACUAUCGGAGACCAAAGGAUCUAUCUAGGUAAGAACUAGAAAGAAAUGAUCAAUCAAAGACUCAAUCCAAUGAGCAUAUAACUCAAGGGGAGUGGUUCCAUCCAGAUGAUAAACUGUGGAGGAAAC